UGCCUAACAGCUAGCCCACCCAAACAAUUUCAACAAACCCCUGUUAAUAACCCCUAAGUACCCCAGUAUUUAUUUUAAACAAACCAUUUUUCCCCCCUAGUAUAGGCGAUAGAAAAGGGCCUACGGCGCAAUAGAGAAAGUACCGCAAGGGAACGCUGAAAGAGAAGUGAAACAACCCAGUAAAGCCUAAAAAAGCAGAGAUCUAAACUCGUACCUUUUGCAUCAUGAUUUAGCAAGUGUAACCCAAGCAAAGCGUACUUUAGUUUGACGUCCCGAAACUAGGUGAGCUACUCCAAGACAGCCUAUCAAUAGGGCGUACCCGUCUCUGUGGCAAAAGAGUGGGGAGAGCUUUGAGUAGAGGUGACAAACCUACCGAACCUAGUUAUAGCUGGUUGUCCAAGAAAUGAAUAGAAGUUCAGCCUUUCAGCUUCUCUUUUCACCUUAGCCUGACCCCUAUUGAUGUAUUAAAGAAACCGAAAGAGUUAGUCAAAGGGGGUACAGCUCCUUUGAAUCAAGACACAACUUUCCCAGGAGGGUAAAGAUCAUAAUAAUUAAAGCUAAAUGUUCUGGUGGGCCUAAAAGCAGCCAUCCCCUUAGAAAGCGUUAAAGCUCAGACAUGCGACCAUACUUCUUAUCCUGAUCACCCAAUCUUAUCCCCCUAACCGUACUGGACCAUCCCAUGCCAACAUGGGAGUGACUAUGCUGAAAUGAGUAAUAAGAGAGCUAUCGGCUCUCUCCCUGCACACAUGUACAUCGGAACGGACAACCCACCGAACCUUAACGGCCCCAAAUAAAGAGGGCAGUGGAUGUUAGACCAAAAAACUAGAAAACUAUCCAAAAACCAACCGUUAAACCCACACAGGUGUGCCCCCAGGGAAAGACUAAA
rnacentral:rRNA from 1 species